GCCCCAAUGGCGGAAUGGUAGACGCGGCAGACUCAAAAUCUGUUGGUGGAGACACCGUGCUGGUUCAAGUCCGGCUUGGGGCACCA
rnacentral:tRNA from 1 species